CCCUUUCCUUUUCUCCCUCCUCCCUCAGUGCGUCCCUCCCACCGAGGCCCGCCUCGUAUUUCCUGGAUCCGGUCUCUGCUGGAGCUUGAAGCUGGUAUUUAAAGUGAUGGCUGCAGCCAUUCCGGAGAGUUACUCACUUUUCCUGGGUCUCUGCCAUGUAUACAGGAGAGAGAGAGCAGGAGCACAUGGAGAGGCAGAGACAGAGAGAAUCUCAAGCAGACCCCUGCUGAGCGCAGAGCCAGAGUCAGGGCUCCAUCCCAGGACCCUGAGAUCAUGACCUGAGACGGAAUCAAGAAUUGGACAGACGCUUAACCGACUGAGCCAUGCAGGUCCGUGUCUCAUGAAUGGUAAGGAGUUUGUGAGGUGCCUUAGACCCAAAGACCUUUGGAAUUUGUUGAAAGACAACUCAGUUUCCAUGAGAAACAAAGUACAAAGAUUGGUAUGCAGUUCUGAGUGUCUUGUAAAUAAAUCCAGAUGUGAUUAC